UGUAAACAUCCUACACUCAUCU
rnacentral:miRNA from 1 species